UUGUUUUUUUGAAUAUAUCUGAUAAAAUUGGAAUGAUAUGGAAAAGAUUAACACGGCCCUUGCACAACGAUGGCACACUCGAUAAAUGGUCUAAAUCGUUUUUU
rnacentral:snRNA from 1 species